GACGAACCGAGCGAACGUUAUUCGGAAUCACUGGGCUUAAAGGGCGCGUAGGCGGGCUGACAAGUCUGGGGUGAAAUCCCGCGGCUCAACCGCGGAACUGCCUCAGAUACUGUCGGCCUCGAGGAAGGUAGGGGCAUGCGGAACUGUAGGUGGAGCGGUGAAAUGCGUUGAUAUCUACAGGAACUCCGGUGGCGAAAGCGGCGUGCUGGACCUUUUCUGACGCUGAGGCGCGAAAGCUAGGGGAGCAAACGGG
rnacentral:rRNA from 1 species